rnacentral:pre_miRNA from 1 species
CAUUCGCACCUGUAUUUUGCUGAACCGUUUCCAUUCUCUUCUAUUUCCGGUUGAGCAAAAUUUCAGGUGUGUGAGAAA